rnacentral:lncRNA from 1 species
AGGGCAGCCCCAUGGUCUGGCCAAGGGUCCCAGAGAGGAAGUGGCCAACCUCAGGGCUUACGCUUUUCCCUUCUGGGAGCUCAGCUUCAUGGUGAGGAGGGCAGCCUUCCCUCCGGCAUGACCUGGGCACACGACUUCACCUUUCUGUGGGCCACCUGUGGUAGGUGCCGGGGAAGUGCUAAGCCAGCAUGCAGUAGGUGCUCAGUAAAUGCAGGGUUGGUGUGCAGCAGGUGCUCAGUAAUGCAGGGCUGGUACACAGUAGGUGCUUAGUGAAUGCAGGGCUGGUACAUAGUAGGUGCUCAGCAAAUGUGGGGCCAGUGUGCAGUGGGUGCUCAGUAAUGCUGGGUCUGUGUACAGUGGGUGCUCAGUAAAUGCUGGGCCAGCAUGCAAUAGGUGCUCAGUAAAUGUGGGGCCGGGGCAGGUUGGUGUGCAGCAGGUGCUCAGUAAUGCAGGACUAGUGCACAGUAGGUGCUCAGUAAUGCUGGGGUUGU